rnacentral:lncRNA from 10 species
AUGCUUCAUCUCUGCUGAGACCCAGUGCCUGGCACUGAAGGUGCUCAGGAAAUACCUUCUGAAUGAUCGGAAGCCCCUGCCAUCUGCUAAACUGGAUCUAUGAUGACAGAAGCCGAGGAAUGUGAGGUUCAUCUAGAGAGUUCUUGUGAAUUUUCCAAGGGAGGCACCUGUUGAAUUCAGGCAUCGGCAUGUGACUUGAUUUGGUCAAUGAAAUGUGAGAGAAGUGACAUCCACUUUGAGGCAGGCACUUUCCGAUUUCAGUCUCUAGAGAUUCCAGAGUCUGGGAUCUGGACUGGGGUGAAGGGAGGCAUGGUUUUGCCACAGCCUGCCCUGUACUGCUGAAUUCUCCUGCGCGUGCUCAAGUGCUUGCAAAUGAAAGGUCAUCUGGGCCUUGAUCAGUCGUGUGGCCUGUGGAUGAUGCCAUCAAGCUGAGAUGUGAAGCGGAAGUGAGGCAGAGGCUCCCUUCCUUUUGUUUGGCGCAGUUUUCUGUGAGAGAGCAGAGGUGGGAGAUGAGGGGACCUCUGCCCCAGUGUUUCUGCAUCCAAGCUCCAGCCUUGUUGAAGGUUGCCCCGACGGCCACUCUCCAUACUGCUGCCAGAAGAACCUUGAAAUAUCGCUCUUUUUAAUUAAAAAGCAAAACUCUUCAA